rnacentral:rRNA from 1 species
GUGACUGCGUACCUUUUGUAUAAUGGGUCAGCGACUUAUAUUCUGUAGCAAGGUUAACCGAAUAGGGGAGCCGAAGGGAAACCGAGUCUUAACUGGGCGUUAAGUUGCAGGGUAUAGACCCGAAACCCGGUGAUCUAGCCAUGGGCAGGUUGAAGGUUGGGUAACACUAACUGGAGGACCGAACCGACUAAUGUUGAAAAAUUAGCGGAUGACUUGUGGCUGGGGGUGAAAGGCCAAUCAAACCGGGAGAUAGCUGGUUCUCCCCGAAAGCUAUUUAGGUAGCGCCUCGUGAAUUCAUCUCCGGGGGUAGAGCACUGUUUCGGCAAGGGGGUCAUCCCGACUUACCAACCCGAUGCAAACUGCGAAUACCGGAGAAUGUUAUCACGGGAGACACACGGCGGGUGCUAACGUCCGUCGUGAAGAGGGAAACAACCCAGACCGCCAGCUAAGGUCCCAAAGUCAUGGUUAAGUGGGAAACGAUGUGGGAAGGCCCAGACAGCCAGGAUGUUGGCUUAGAAGCAGCCAUCAUUUAAAGAAAGCGUAAUAGCUCACUGGUCGAGUCGGCCUGCGCGGAAGAUGUAACGGGGCUAAACCAUGCACCGAAGCUGCGGCAGCGACACUAUGUGUUGUUGGGUAGGGGAGCGUUCUGUAAGCCUGUGAAGGUGUACUGUGAGGUAUGCUGGAGGUAUCAGAAGUGCGAAUGCUGACAUAAGUAACGAUAAAGCGGGUGAAAAGCCCGCUCGCCGGAAGACCAAGGGUUCCUGUCCAACGUUAAUCGGGGCAGGGUGAGUCGACCCCUAAGGCGAGGCCGAAAGGCGUAGUCGAUGGGAAACAGGUUAAUAUUCCUGUACUUGGUGUUACUGCGAAGGGGGGACGGAGAAGGCUAUGUUGGCCGGGCGACGGUUGUCCCGGUUUAAGCGUGUAGGCUGGUUUUCCAGGCAAAUCCGGAAAAUCAAGGCUGAGGCGUGAUGACGAGGCACUACGGUGCUGAAGCAACAAAUGCCCUGCUUCCAGGAAAAG